ensembl:lncRNA
GGGACAGAGAGAGAUGGAAAGAGAGAGGUAGAAGGGACAGAGAGAGAGAGGGAAAGAGAGAGGUAGAAGGGACAGAGAGGAGGAGAGAGGGAAAGAGAGAGGUAGAAGGGAUAUAGAAAGGAGAGACGGAGAGGAGUUAGGUCAGUUAGGAUCACCACUUUAUUUUAAAAAUGUGAAAUGUCAGAAUAAUAGUAGAGAGAAUGAUUUUUUUCAUCCUUUAUUUCUUUCAUCACAUUCCCAGUGGGUCAGAAGUUUACA